AAUUUGUUUUAAGGAUACUAUCUAUGUAAUUACCAAGUUAUCGAACAUUUUGAAAUGUUCCAGAUUGUUCUGGCCGAUUUAAGGAAGUACCAGAACAUUUGAAAGACUUUUAGAUUGAUUAUGAAAGCUGAAUAUAACAGGAGAGCAAAUAAAGUGACAGAUUAUUUAGAAAAACGUCAAAAUCCUCAAUAAAAAAUUAUAAACAUUAUAAAAAGUUAUAAACCGAAUAUUUUGAAGUGUUUUAAACGUUCCAAACUGUUUCAAGAAAAAAUCAGAUUGACUAUAAAAGCAGAAAAUGUGAUAAAAAGGAAAAGACAGUGGAAUCUACGAGAAUAUUCGAGAAAUAAUCGGUUGUAAAAGCAGUGCACCUAAGAAGUUGAUUCAGUAAAACGUGUUAUAAUUUUAAAUGCGUUUAAUUAAUGCCUUUACCUAUAUGAUUAUCAGGUAUCGAAUGUUCGGAAAUUCUCAGGACACUUCUAACUAUGUUUUAAUAAUGAACUAAAAUAUUGAAGACAGAAUUGGUUGUAAGAGUAACACGUGACGAGAGGGAAAGCGAGUUAAUAAAUGAAUUAGAAAAAUACACAAUGUUUUAGUGACCUUAUUAAAAAAUUAUUUAAAAAAAAGAAGAAAAA